rnacentral:rRNA from 1 species
GACGAACGCUGGCGGCGUGCCUAAUACAUGCAAGUCGAACGAGAGCGCCCGGUGCUUGCACUGGUCAAUCUAGUGGCGAACGGGUGAGUAACACGUGGGUAACCUGCCCAUCAGAGGGGGAUAACAUUCGGAAACGGAUGCUAAAACCGCAUAGGUCUUCGAACCGCAUGGUUUGAAGAGGAAAAGAGGCGCAAGCUUCUGCUGAUGGAUGGACCCGCGGUGCAUUAGCUAGUUGGUGAGGUAACGGCUCACCAAGGCCGUGAUGCAUAGCCGACCUGAGAGGGUGAUCGGCCACAUUGGGACUGAGGCACGGCCCAAACUCCUACGGGAGGCAGCAGUAGGGAAUCUUCCGCAAUGGACGCAAGUCUGACGGAGCAACGCCGCGUGAGUGAAGAAGGUUUUCGGAUCGUAAAACUCUGUUGUUAGAGAAGAAUAAGUGCUAGAGUAACUGUUAGCGCCUUGACGGUAUCUAACCAGAAAGCCACGGCUAACUACGUG